UUUGAUCCUGGCUCAGGAUGAACGCUAGCGACAGGCUUAACACAUGCAAGUCGAGGGGCAGCGGGGAUGAAGCUUGCUUCAUCCGCCGGCGACCGGCGCACGGGUGAGUAACACGUAUGCAACCUGCCCCUGGCUGGGGGAUAAGCCGGAGAAAUCCGGUCUAAUACCGCGUAACAUCCUUACGGGACAUCCCGUUAGGAUCAAAGGAAGCGAUUCCGGCCAGGGAUGGGCAUGCGGCGCAUUAGCUAGUCGGCGGGGUAACGGCCCACCGAGGCGACGAUGCGUAGGGGUUCUGAGAGGAAGGUCCCCCACACUGGUACUGAGACACGGACCAGACUCCUACGGGAGGCAGCAGUGAGGAAUAUUGGUCAAUGGGCGCGAGCCUGAACCAGCCAAGUCGCGUGAGGGAAGACGGUCCUAUGGAUUGUAAACCUCUUUUGCCGGGGAGCAAGCUGGGUCACGUGUGACCCAGCUGAGAGUACCCGGAGAAAAAGCAUCGGCUAACUCCGUG
rnacentral:rRNA from 1 species